rnacentral:misc_RNA from 1 species
CCGAGUUUACAACUCCCAAACCCCUGUGAACAUACCUUAACGUUGCCUCGGCGGAUCAGCCCGCGCCCCGUAAAACGGGACGGCCCGCCAGAGGACCCAAACUCUAAUGUUUCUUAUUGUAACUUCUGAGUAAAACAAACAAAUAAAUCA